AAAAGGGUGGUAAUGCCGGAUGCUCCGACUCCUCGCAUGGGGUGUCGGGAAAGAUUUCAUCGGUAUGGGAUGGGGUCGCGUCCUAUCAGGUAGUCGGCGGGGUAACGGCCCACCGAGCCUACGACGGGUAGCCGGCCUGAGAGGGCGACCGGCCACAUUGGGACUGAGAUACGGCCCAGACUCCUACGGGAGGCAGCAGUGGGGAAUAUUGCACAAUGGGCGCAAGCCUGAUGCAGCGACGCCGCGUGCGGGAUGACGGCCUUCGGGUUGUAAACCGCUUUUGAUCGGGAGCAAGCCUUCGGGUGAGUGUACCUUUCGAAUAAGCACCGGCUAACUACGUGCCAGCAGCCGCGGUAAUACGUAGGGUGCAAGCGUUAUCCGGAAUUAUUGGGCGUAAAGGGCUCGUAGGCGGUUCGUCGCGUCCGGUGUGAAAGUCCAUCGCUUAACGGUGGAUCUGCGCCGGGUACGGGCGGGCUGGAGUGCGGUAGGGGAGACUGGAAUUCCCGGUGUAACGGUGGAAUGUGUAGAUAUCGGAAAGAACACCAAAG
rnacentral:rRNA from 1 species